rnacentral:misc_RNA from 1 species
GAACGCACAUUGCGCCCCUUGGUAUUCCGUAGGGCAUGCCUGUUCGAGCGUCAUUCAAACCUUCAAGCUCUGCUUGGUGUUGGGCGUCUGUCCUGCCUCACGGCGCGGACUCGCCUCAAAUCUAUUGGCGGCCGGCACGUUGGCUUCGAGCGCAGCAGAAACGCGAACUCGGGCCCGACGGAUCGGCUCCCAGAAGCUACCCCCAUGAAUUUGACCUCGGAUCAGGUAGGGAUACCCGCUGAACUUAAG